rnacentral:rRNA from 1 species
GACGAACGCUGGCGGCGUGCUUAACACAUGCAAGUCGAACGGAAAGGCCCUGCUUGCAGGGUACUCGAGUGGCGAACGGGUGAGUAACACGUGGGUGAUCUGCCCUGCACUUCGGGAUAAGCCUGGGAAACUGGGUCUAAUACCGGAUAGGAGCCAUUUUUAGUGUGAUGGUUGGAAAGUUUUUUCGGUGUAGGAUGAGCUCGCGGCCUAUCAGCUUGUUGGUGGGGUAAUGGCCUACCAAGGCGGCGACGGGUAGCCGGCCUGAGAGGGUGGACGGCCACAUUGGGACUGAGAUACGGCCCAGACUCCUACGGGAGGCAGCAGUGGGGAAUCUUGCACGAUGGGCGCCAGCCUGAUGCAGCGACGCUGCGUGGGGGAUGACGGCCUUCGGGUUGUAAACUCCUUUCGCUAGGGACGAAGCUUUUUGUGACGGUACCUAGAUAAGAAGCACCGGCUAACUACGUG